AUUCUUGGGUUUGUUCUCUCGGCUAUUGCUUUUUCCCUCAAGAAGAGAAGGAUUUUUUUCCCUCAAUCUCCAUCUAGCUCUCGGCCCUCCUCUUUUCCAGAAACAAAAAAAUUUUCAGCACACUUCAACAAACAAACACACACACAAAAGGAAAAAAAAAACUCUCUCGGCCUUUCUAUCCCUCUCGGCUCUUCUUUUCCUUUCUUGUUCUCUCAAGAAAAAAAAUUUCCUUAGACAACAAAAUUUUCCCUUCAACUCUCUAUCUCUCUCGGUUCUCACCUCUCUUUCCCCCUAUCAAUUUCAUACACCUACUAGCAAAACAACAAAAAAAAAAAUAAAGAGCAAGCCAUUGGACAGUUGGAGGUUUGGAGUUUCAUCAAAGCAUUUUAACCAACUCCAUUUUCGGUGAGGUAUCUCUCAAUUUUUUGAAGCAAAUUAAAUUCAUGUUGAUUGCUUAAUUUCUCUUGCUUUUGUUGGGUGUUGUUGUUGCUGUUGUUAUGUUGCUAAAUGUUGGGGUUAAGUUACAAACAAGAUUGAAGAAAGAGAAGUAAUUUUUCUGUAUGCAAGCUAAAUGUUUGAUAAAAUGCCAAAAUGAAAAGAAUCAAAAUUAGUGAAUUUUUUGUGCAUAGUUUUGUUAAAAUGAAUGACCCGUAGCUAGUACAGGGCCUGGAAAAGAUGUUUGAUUGUCCAAAAUUUAAGUUUUGACCUCAAAAGCAAAGAAUGAAUUUUUUCAAAAUUAGGGGGCCAUUUUGCCUUAAUUUAGGCUUUUGUUGUUGUUUUCUUGUCAAAAUAAGAUCAUAGUUAUAAUGUAGAAGUUAUAAUGAGUGUUGUAGUAUAAUUUUUAUGAUUUUUGGUGAAAAUUUGAGGGUUAAAAAAAUAUAAAAAAAUUGGACUGACUUUUGCUAUUUUUGGCCACUUUCAGGUCAUAUUUUGUAAAAUCUAACUUCAAAAACGGAAUCUACGCGAAAAAUCGAGUGAGGGGGUGUAUUUUGAGAAAAUUUGGCGGCGGCCACCAGCUGCAAGAAGCUUCUGCUGGCCGGAGUGGAAGAAUAAGAAAAAAGAAGAAGAAGAAGAAGAAAGGAAAGAAAGGGAAGAAAAGAAGGAAAAGAGAAUUGGGCUGAUGUUUUUUUUCUUGUGGGCUUGUGUUUAUUUUUGAUUGGGUUUUGGGAAUGGGUUUUUGUUUAUUUCUUUUGGGUUUCGAUUUGGGCUAAGAUGUCAGAGCCCAUGCAUUUUUUGGUCGGAUUUGAGUGAUAAAAGGAUGGGCUGGACCGCUUAUUUCCUUUGGGUUUCGGCGGGGCUUAGGAAUUUCCGACCUAAGCAAAAAUAAUAAGAAAGGCCCGAUGGCCUUUUCUUGCCAAGUCAAAAAUCGAAAUUUGCAUUCUAGCCCCUGAUCUUUGGAGCAGUUUCACUGUGAUCCUGAAAAUUUUAAUUUUUUUUCACUUAGGUCCUUAAAUUAAUUGCACUUUGGUCCCUGAAUUUUAUCAUUUAUUUAAUUUUGACCCCUAAACUUUGGAAAAAUAUAUUUUGACCAUAAAAGCUUUUUUGAAUUUGUAAUUUAAUC
rnacentral:lncRNA from 1 species